AAGAGACAGCAGUAGCCGCGGGAAUACAGAGGGUGCGAGCGUUAAUCGGAUUUACUGGGCGUAAAGCGUGCGUAGGCGGCUUUUUAAGUCGGAUGUGAAAUCCCUGAGCUUAACUUAGGAAUUGCAUUCGAUACUGGGAAGCUAGAGUAUGGGAGAGGAUGGUAGAAUUCCAGGUGUAGCGGUGAAAUGCGUAGAGAUCUGGAGGAAUACCGAUGGCGAAGGCAGCCAUCUGGCCUAAUACUGACGCUGAGGUACGAAAGCAUGGGGAGCAAACAGGAUUAGAUACCCCUGUAGUCCCUGUCUCUUAUAC
rnacentral:rRNA from 1 species